rnacentral:rRNA from 1 species
UACGUAGGGGGCAAGCGUUGUCCGGAUUUAUUGGGCGUAAAGAGCGUGUAGGCGGCUUUGCAAGUCGGGUGUGAAAGCCCUCAGCUCAACUGAGGAAGUGCGCCCGAAACUGCAGAGCUUGAGUGCCGGAGAGGGUGGAGGAAUUCCCCAAGUAGAGGUGAAAUUCGUAGAUAUGGGGAGGAACACCGGUGGCGAAGGCGGCCACCUGGACGGUAACUGACGCUGAGACGCGAAAGCGUGGGUAGCAAACAGG